AUUUAAGAUAAAUUUCUUCUUAAAAUUUUUAUGGAUUAUAGAGCAUUGAGAGACCUUUAGGGCAUGUGAAAAUUAGGAAGAAAAAGUGUUGAAGUAUGGAGAUAUAAUAGACAAAAAAUAAAGUAUCUGGGUUAGAGCAAAGAGAAGAAGAAGAGGGUCUUCUUCUAGUGUUGCUGUGUUCACCUCUUUCCUUCCUCCAUCUAUGAGUUUUCUGAGAGUGUCUCAUAUCUAAAACU
rnacentral:lncRNA from 1 species